rnacentral:rRNA from 1 species
GACGAACGCUGGCGGCGUGCCUAAUACAUGCAAGUCGAGCGCAGGAAGCCGUCUGAACCCUUCGGGGGGACGACGGUGGAAUGAGCGGCGGACGGGUGAGUAACACGUAAAGAACCUGCCCAUAGGUCUGGGAUAACCACGAGAAAUCGGGGCUAAUACCGGAUGUGUCAUCGGACCGCAUGGUCCGCUGAUGAAAGGCGCUCCGGCGUCGCCCAUGGAUGGCUUUGCGGUGCAUUAGCUAGUUGGUGGGGUAACGGCCCACCAAGGCGACGCUGCAUCGCCGACCUGAGAGGGUGAUCGGCCACACUGGGACUGAGACACGGCCCAGACUCCUACGGGAGGCAGCAGUAGGGAAUCUUCCACAAUGGACGAAAGUCUGAUGGAGCAACGCCGCGUGAACGAUGAAGGCUUUCGGGUCGUAAAGUUCUGUUGUAAGGGAAGAACAAGUGCCGCAGGCAAUGGCGGCACCUUGACGGUACCUUGCGAGAAAGCCACGGCUAACUACGUGCCAGCAGCCGCGGUAA